rnacentral:rRNA from 1 species
AUUGAACGCUGGCGGCAGGCCUAACACAUGCAAGUCGAACGAGUGGCGGACGGGUGAGUAAUGUCUGGGAAACUGACUGAUGGAGGGGGAUAACUACUGGAAACGGUAGCUAAUACCGCAUACCAUCAGAUGUGCCCAGAUGGGAUGAGCUAGUUGGUGGGGUAACGGCUCACAAAGGCGACGAUCCCUAGCUGGUCUGAGAGGAUGACCGGUCACACUGGAAUUGAGCGACGUGCCCGACUCCUACGGGAGGCCGCAGUGGGGAAUAUUGCACAAUGGGCCCAAGCCUGAUGCAGCCAUGCCGCGUGUAUGAAGAAGGCCUUCGGGUUGUAAAGUACUUUCAGCGGGGAGGCGUUACCCGCAGAAGAAGCACCGGCUAACUCCGUGCCAGCCGCCGCGGUAAUAC